UGAUUUUAUAUUAAGGGCUGCAGUAUAUUGACUGUACUAAGGUAGCAUAAUCAUUUGUUUUUUAAUUGAAAACUAGUAUGAAUGGUUGGAUGAGAAAUUUACUGUCUCUGAUUAAUAAAAAUAAUAAUUUAAAUUUUUAGUUAAAAUGCUAAAAUAUUAUUAAAAGACGAGAAGACCCUAUAGAUUUUUAUUUUAGUUGUUAAUUAAUAAUUUAUUUAAUAAUAAUUUUUUUUAAUAAUUAGAAUUUAAUUGGGGUGAUUUAAAAAUUUAGGUAACUUUUUAUUAUAUUUUUCAUGAUGAGUGUUUAUUUUUGAUCCUUAUAUAAAGAUUAUAAGAUUAAAUUACCUUAGGGAUAACAGCGUAAUUUUUUUGAAGAGUACUUAUCGUUAAAAAAGAUUGCGACCUCGAUGUUGAAUUAAAAUUUAUUUAAAAUGUAGCAGUUUUAUAAUUUAGUCUGUUCGACUAUUGAAAUUUUACAUGAUCUGAGUUCAAACCGA
rnacentral:rRNA from 1 species